AAUUUGUUUGUUUGGCUUGGCUUGCUUCCUGGUUGGAGGCUUGUUUUUUUUUUUUUUUUUUUUUGGUCAAAUGGUUGGAGGCUUUUGUCCUAUUAUUUUCUUCUAUUUUUUUUGGGCUUAGUGGAUUCCUUAUCCACUCCUUAUGUGUGGGGUUAAAGAUGACUAAGUGGGUAGCCUUCUUUUUAUAUAAAGUGAUAGGCUGGUUUCUAAAAUUCAUAAGUCUGCCUGCACCUUUAAGCUUAUUUACUAAAUCAGGACUGGGAUGGAGUGUUGAUCCGUUGUUGGAUAAUACAUGCUUAAUUAUACAAAGUGGUUUGAGAGCUCAUAGGCAUCCUUCCCUUACAAGCCAGUUUUUAGGGGCAAGUUUUUUUUUUUUUUUUGUCAGAUAUGGGCAAGUUCUACACAUGGGUUCUUAACAUUUGGUAUCAGAGCCUAGCACCAUGCAACUAGGCCCAAGCGACCAUUAAGCUUAAUUAAGAUGAUAUCGAGUCAUUGAUCCCACAUUUGAAAAAUAGAAUAUCAUAGAGUGGUUUAAGAGCUUAUAGGC
rnacentral:lncRNA from 1 species